rnacentral:lncRNA from 1 species
UCUGUGACUUUUGGAUUAGAGCAAAGAGAAGAAGAAGAGGGUCUUCCUCUAGGGUUGCUGUGUUCACCUCUUCUCUUCCUCCAUUUGUGAGUUUUCUGAGAAUAUCUCACAUAUAAAACUCCUUCUCCUACUUCUCAUCUUUGAAAGAGUCCAAAUCAAGGAGGCAUCUGAUCGACCAUCGAAGAAGGAUUAUUACAAUACUAGCAUACUGUGCUGAUUUCUUGAACUAGGACUUCUGAUCGUGAUUCGUGAGCUCAUGUGGAUGACUCCUAGAGGCCGGACGCAUGUGUGGCUCGCAACAUCAUCCUCAAGCCCGGAUCA